rnacentral:lncRNA from 1 species
AUGUCAGACGCGGCAGUGGACAAUAGCUCCGAGUUCACCACCAAGGACUUGAAGAAGAAGUUGUGGAGGAGGCAGAGAAUGGAAGAGAUUCACUUGCCAGUGGGAACACUCAAAAUGAGGAAAAUGUGGAGCAGGAGGCUGACAAUGAGGUAGAUGAAGAAGAGGAAGAGGUGGGGAGGACGAGGAGGAGGAGGAAGAUGACGGUGACGAAGACGAUGGAGAUGAAGAGGAGGAAGCGGAGGCUCCUAUGGGCAAGCGGGUAGCUGAGGAUGAUGAGGACAAUGACGUUGACAUCAAGAAGCAGAAGACUGACGAGGAUGACUAG